UUACGACUAUAUCACAUUGAAACACUGGUUUUCGUACGUUUAAACAGAAGUUAAGCGACGUCGAGCCUGGUCAGUACCUAGGUAGGUGACCGCUUGGGAAUACCAGGUGCUACU